UUCCGGUUGAUCCUGCCGGACCCGACUGCUAUCGGAUUGAGAUUUAGCCAUGCGAGUCGAACGUCCCCCUGUUGCGGGGGGCGUGGCGUACGGCUCAGUAACACGUAGUCAACCUGCCCUGGAGACAAGGACAACCCCGGGAAACUGGGAUUAAUCCUUGAUAGGUCAUCUCAUCUGGAAGGAGAGAUGGCUUAAAGGGGUACGCGGGCUUCUUCCGCGAAUCUGCUCCAGGAUGGGACUGCGUCCGAUCAGGCUGUUGGCGGGGUAAUGGCCCACCAAACCUGUAACCGGUACGGGCCUUGAGAGAGGUGGCCCGGAGAUGGACACUGAGAGAAGGGUCCAGGUCCUACGGGGCGCAGCAGGCGCGAAACCUUCGCAAUGCGCGAAAGCGUGACGAGGUUAAUCCGAGUGACUCCCGCUGAGGGGGUCUUUUGUCAGCUGUAAAUAGGCAGGCGAAUAAGGGGAGGGCAAGCCUGGUGUCAGCUGCCGCGGUAAUACCAGCUCCUCGAGUGGUCGGGGCGAUUAUUGGGCCUAAAGCAUCCGUAGCCGGUUCCGUAGGUCCUCUGUUAAAUCCAACCGCUUAACGGUUGACCUGCAGAGGAUACCGCGGGACUAGGAGGCGGGAGAGGCGGACGGUACUCCGCGUGUAGGGGUAAAAUCCUUUGAUCCGCGGAAGACCACCAGUGGCGAAGGCGGUCCGCCAGAACGCGCUCGACGGUGAGGGAUGAAAGCUGGGGGAGCGAACCGGAUUAGAUACCCGGGUAGUCCCAG
rnacentral:rRNA from 1 species